rnacentral:sRNA from 1 species
ACAUUAUAUAUAAUGUUUUCUAUACAUAUAGUUAUAGAGUUAUAGUUCUUUUCCACUGCCUAUGCAUUAUUGACUUAUCCAUGGAUAUUCAUGACAGCUCUGGGCUGCCAGGGAGGUGCCAGAACAGUGUCAUAGAGCUAGCUUGCCCUCACAGGGAAGGGCACACCUUGCCUGUAAUAGCCCCUACAUGCAGAGCCUGGCUGCUCAACCUUCAAUUUCCAAGGACAAUCUAGGGUUAGAGGUGGGUGUUCUCUGCCUUUCCUUUUCAUGGCAAACUAAGCAAAAGUAGGCAGAUGACUUUCUGCGUUUUCUCUUACACAACACUGGAACCUGAAAUAUGUAUGACUUGGAUAGAAGCCUAUUCAUAACACCAACAGCAGGAGGCCAGAACAUCUAAAUAAGCGAAUGACUUCCCAUGGAACGAGCGGACGGGAUGGAUUUCUGCAGUGUGCUGUUAUGCUUUGGGAGAAAAGCUGUUCUCCCCGAGGCUGGCCACGUGUCUGAGGUCCUUAAGACAGCAAGUUCAAAGCAUAGUGACUCUGCUGUACCCACAGCUGAGUGACAAAGCUGCCACCAUCGGAUUUCAUAGUUGAAAUAAGAAAGGCGAGUGAGGGUCAUCCUGUGACGUCAGAUUUGUGGCUAAGUGAGUGGCAGAGCUGGGUCUCUGGGCGCCAGAGUUUAGAGGACCAGUCAGGUAUGUUCAAGGAUAGAAUGCCCAUCAUAAGCAAGUGGAUAGGCUAAGAUAUUUGAGAGUGAAAGGCCAAAUGAAUAAUACAUGUGCCAGGACAAUAAAUUUAAACCACAAGUGUCAUACAGGGUGUAUUGUUACCUUAAUUACUGUACAAUGUGCGUGUGGAGAAACAAAAAAGGUUUUCUCAUUAUUAUUCACCUACUUAAUAAUUAUUUAUUGACUCUUUAAUAAGUACCAUAUGCAGUCCCAGACCAUGAGUUAAUACACUGUCCCUUCCUGCUUAAUGACCACAUCUUCUAGUGCACGCCACUUGUAUGUGCUUAUGUGCCUGAAUGUGCAUAAUGGUCUGUCACACAGGAUGCAUGUAUGUGACAACAAGAAAUACACGUUUAGAAUUCUCACAUUAAAUAUCCAUUAGAAUCCAUAUAGUAGCCCUCAUUCCUCUCAUUUUGACUCCUUAACAUAUUAAAUUUGUUCAGCAUCCUCCCUCUGAUCCAUGGGGACAUAGUCCCAGAUCUGUCUGAAAUCAGAAGUAGUAGGACACCCUAUAUGUGUAUUAUGUUUUGCAUGCAGCUCCACGCUGAUGAUGAAUUUGAACUUAUAAGUUACACAAUGUGUAAAUUCAACAAAAAUUGCUACUGAUAAAUAGAAUAGCUACAGGGAUUUACUUAAGUAGUCAAGUGGAUGCAAUUAUUCUCCCUUGAAUACUCUUUUAUUAAGAUGUUUUUCAGUUAUGUGUGUAUGUGUGUGUCUGUGUGUUUUGGUAUGUGAAUGUAGGUGCUAGCUAGUACCUGUAGUUAUAGGUGGUUGCAAACCCCAUGACAUGAAUGCUGGGAACAAAACUCUGGUCUUCUCUUAGCUGCUGAACCAUCUCACCAACCCCAAUUAUUAUCUCUUGAAAGAAAUAAGACCAUUGAAAUUAAUGAGAUGAUUCAUCCCUCACUCUGCAUGAUCACAGGUAAAUGGAAUUGUGGGAUAUAAGUUACAGGUCAGGGCAUCUCAAAGCAUAAACAUUCUAUACCACCAAAUAGAAAAGGCCACAUCAAGAUUCUGAAAUUCUAGACAUGUGUACCAGUUCGGUUGCUGAUAACACAUUCUCCUUCCUUGUUCUUUCCAUCCCACCAAACUUGGAGUGUUGCUAGGAAACCAUGUUGCUUCUCACUCCGGACCACCAGCUGUUUCUGUGUGCUAUUCCUAUUUAUUCUGGUUGAUUACCACAACUACCCCGUGAAGGAAGCCAGUGGAACACCCGCUGUGGUCUGAUUUUACGGUGAUGGUCUAACCUGGUCAAAAGAGAUAAAAGGGUCAAGAAUGAGUCUCAAGGACAGCUCUUUGUCUCCAAGGAAAGAACGGAUAGAUCCGGUCCACCAAGGCGCUCUGGAGACUACAGGGCAAGGAAAACAAGACUGAUCUCAGUACAGUGCUCAGGGUUCCAGCCUCGGGAUCCUGGGAAACCAGUUCAAGAAUUGGGAGUAGCACAAUUAUCAGUGACUGAGACACAGAAAUAUGGAAAUGGAGCUAUUUCACAGCCCUGUGGUUGCCUGAGCUUAUAUGCCGACAUGAAGAAAUACUAUGGGAUUUGCCUGUCAAGUGUGAGUCAGGCACAGUCACGUGGAGAGCUUGGAUAGAAUCACUAUCGUCUCUGUCUACAGGAUGAGUGGAGAGGUGGAAGGAGAUAAAGACACCUUCAAACAAGGAGUGAACUUUGUACAUCGAGAUGAGAAAGCCUGGGACGGGUGGCGGACAGUGUAAGGAAUUAUUCCAGGAAGUACCUCAAUUAUGAUUCAUUACUUUAAAAAGAUUUAAUUGCAAGUGAGUCAGCUGCAGUUUAGCAGGCAUUAUUCAGUACGACAACCCACCCAUGGCCACACAGCGCUUUCAGAAAAUAAACACACACUUCUCUUGGCUUCAGUUCCUAUUUCUUAAAAAGUGAAAGCUUUGCUAUCUGUAGUAGCUUCACAUUGUCCAUAGGCCUAGUAAGAAUAAGGGACAGACAUGGCCCAACUUCUACCAAUCAAAUGAGAGACCCAAGGAGCUGAAGACUCACCAGAAAUCUAAGACCAGAAUGGGAUCAUUGAACUGGAUUUUGCCCUAUUUCUAAUGUACUUUGGGGUACAUUUUCCUCCAAUACUCUUUGGCUCCUGAGCUAGCUUAAGAAAGGAAAUAUAGAUACUGAAACAAACGCAACAUAUACUUUGCAGGCCCAACUGUGAGGAAAGUACACAUAUCCACUUCAAAGUGAGAAGCCAUCACAGACUAGCCCUUAACUUUAAACCAUGUAUGAGAAUCUUUCUGUAAAGGCAAAAUGUCUCAGGGAGUGAAGAUGCAAAUCUAAUUUACUGUGUGCUUGGAACUUAUUUAAGCUUGGGUGGAGAGGAGAGACUCCACAAACUCAUCCUCUGAACUCAAUACAUGUACCAUGCACCUUGCCACAGCACAUAUAAAUCAAGCACAC